CGGGGCGUGGCCCAGUGGCUAGGGCACCUGCUUUGGGAGCAGGGGAUCGCGGGUUCGAGUCCCGCCGCCCCGA
rnacentral:tRNA from 1 species